rnacentral:lncRNA from 1 species
CUCUCUCUCUUUGUCUCUCUACCAUUCUCCCUCUCCCUCACCCCCUUUAUCGUGUCGGUACGAGCUCGCGAUGGAACAACAUGGUGCCGUACCGACCUGAGUCGCUGGGCAACCGGUCUAGGGCUCGAUUCCGGCACAAUAAUCCUUGCAAUAUGGUCUUAAUUAACCUAAUCCAAAUUGAGGGUACAAAGUGGAUUCGGGUGUUUGCAAGUAGAACGCUCAGAUAUUUGGGGUAUGAAAGCAUCUCAGGAGCAUCUCUACAAAAU